rnacentral:rRNA from 1 species
GAGAGUUUGAUCCUGGCUCAGAACGAACGCUGGCGGCACGCCUAACACAUGCAAGUCGAGCGCCCCUUUCGGGGGGAGCGGCGGACGGGUUAGUAACGCGUGGGAACAUACCCUUUUCUACGGAAUAGCCAUUGGAAACGAUGAUUAAUACCGUAUACGCCCUUAGGGGGAAAGAUUUAUCGGAGAAGGAUUGGCCCGCGUAAGAUUAGCUAGUUGGUAGGGUAAAGGCCUACCAAGGCGACGAUCCGUAGCUGGUCUGAGAGGAUGAUCAGCCACACUGGGACUGAGACACGGCCCAGACUCCUACGGGAGGCAGCAGUGGGGAAUAUUGGACAAUGGGCGAAAGCCUGAUCCAGCCAUGCCGCGUGUGUGAAGAAGGCCUUAGGGUUGUAAAGCACUUUCAGUAGGAGGAAAAGUUAGUCGUUAAUAACGGCUAACCCUGACGUUUACCUACAGAAGAAGCACCGGCAAACUCCGUGCCAGCAGCCGCGGUAAUACGGAGGGUGCGAGCGUUAAUCGGAAUUACUGGGCGUAAAGCGCGCGUAGGCGGCCUGAUAAGUUGGAUGUGAAAGCCCUGGGUUCAACCUAGGAACUGCAUUCAAAACUGUCAGGCUAGAGUAUGGUAGAGGAUAGUGGAAUUUCCGGUGUAGCGGUGAAAUGCGUAGAGAUCGGAAGGAACAUCAGUGGCGAAGGCGGCUAUCUGGACCAAUACUGACGCUGAGGUGCGAAAGCGUGGGUAGCAAACAGGAUUAGAUACCCUGGUAGUCCACGCCGUAAACGAUGUCAACUAGCCGUUGGGGGGCUUGUCCCCUUAGUGGCGCAGCUAACGCGAUAAGUUGACCGCCUGGGGAGUACGGCCGCAAGGUUAAAACUCAAAUGAAUUGACGGGGGCCCGCACAAGCGGUGGAGCAUGUGGUUUAAUUCGAUGCAACGCGAAGAACCUUACCAGCCCUUGACAUGUAGCGAACUUUCCAGAGAUGGAUUGGUGCCUUCGGGAACGCUAACACAGGUGCUGCAUGGCUGUCGUCAGCUCGUGUCGUGAGAUGUUGGGUUAAGUCCCGUAACGAGCGCAACCCUUGUCCUUAGUUGCCAGCACGUAAUGGUGGGAACUCUAAGGAGACUGCCGGUGACAAACCGGAGGAAGGUGGGGAUGACGUCAAGUCAUCAUGGCCCUUAUGGGCUGGGCUACACACGUGCUACAAUGGCCGGUACAGAGGGCAGCAAACUCGCGAGGGUAAGCAAAUCUCAGAAAACCGGUCGUAGUCCGGAUCGCAGUCUGCAACUCGACUGCGUGAAGUCGGAAUCGCUAGUAAUCGCGGAUCAGAAUGCCGCGGUGAAUACGUUCCCGGGCCUUGUACACACCGCCCGUCACACCAUGGGAGUGGGUUGCAAAAGAAGUGGGUAGCUUAACAAUGGGCGCGGCGAUUACCACGGCAGGGUUCGUGACUGGGGUGAAGUCGUAACAAGGUAGCCGUAG